GCCAUGGCGCGGUGAAUACGUUCCCGGGUCUUGUACACACCGCCCGUCAAACCAUGAGAGUCGCCAACACCCGAAGUCCACCUAGUGGCCUAAGGUGGGGAGAUGAUUGGGUUAAGUCGUAACAAGGUACC
rnacentral:rRNA from 1 species